rnacentral:rRNA from 1 species
GACAGAGGGGGCAAGCGUUGCUCGGAAUCACCGGGCGUAAAGGGCGCGUAGGCGGGAUGGCAAGUCGGUCGUGAAAUCCUUCGGCUCAACCGAAGAACGUCGGCCGAUACUGCCGUUCUUGAGGGAUGCAGAGGAGAUUGGAAUUCCCGGUGUAGCGGUGAAAUGUGUAGAGAUCGGGAGGAACACCGGUGGCGAAGGCGGGUCUCUGGGCAUCUCCUGACGCUGAGGCGCGAAAGCGUGGGGAGCAAACGGG